GGCAACCCUGACGGAGCAACGCCGCGUGGGGGAGGAAUGUCUGUGGAUUGUAAACCCCUUUUCUCAGGGAAGAAGUUCUGACGGUACCUGAGGAAUCAGCAUCGGCUAACUCCGUGCCAGCAGCCGCGGUAAGACGGAGGAUGCAAGCGUUAUCCGGAAUUAUUGGGCGUAAAGCGUCCGCAGGGGGCGCAUCAAGUCUGCUGUCAAAGGUCGGAGCUUAACUCCGGUUCGGCAGUGGAAACUGGUGCGCUAGAGGGCGACAGGGGUAGAGGGAAUUCCCAGUGUAGCGGUGAAAUGCGUAGAGAUUGGGAAGAACACCGGUGGCGAAAGCGCUCUACUGGGUCGCACCUGACCCUCAGGGACGAAAGCUAAGGUAGCG
rnacentral:rRNA from 1 species